rnacentral:rRNA from 1 species
UACGAAGGGGGCUAGCGUUGCUCGGAAUGACUGGGCGUAAAGGGCGCGUAGGCGGAUGGCACAGUCAGAUGUGAAAUUCCCCGGGCUUAACCUGGGGGGCUGCAUUUGAUACGUGUUGUCUUGAGUUCGGAAGAGGGUCGUGGAAUUCCCAGUGUAGAGGUGAAAAUUCGUAGAUAUUGGGAAGAACACCGGUGGCGAAGGCGGCGACCUGGUCCGACACUGACGCUGAGGCGCGAAAGCGUGGGGAGCAAACAGG